rnacentral:rRNA from 3 species
AGAGUUUGAUCCUGGCUCAGGAUGAACGCUAGCGGCAGGCUUAACACAUGCAAGUCGAGGGGCAGCAUAAUGGAUAGCAAUAUCUAUGGUGGCGACCGGCGCACGGGUGCGUAACGCGUAUGCAACCUACCUUUAACAGGGGGAUAACACUGAGAAAUUGGUACUAAUACCCCAUAAUAUCAUAGAAGGCAUCUUUUAUGGUUGAAAAUUCCGAUGGUUAGAGAUGGGCAUGCGUUGUAUUAGCUAGUUGGUGGGGUAACGGCUCACCAAGGCGACGAUACAUAGGGGGACUGAGAGGUUAACCCCCCACACUGGUACUGAGACACGGACCAGACUCCUACGGGAGGCAGCAGUGAGGAAUAUUGGUCAAUGGACGCAAGUCUGAACCAGCCAUGCCGCGUGCAGGAAGACGGCUCUAUGAGUUGUAAACUGCUUUUGUACGAGGGUAAACGCAGAUACGUGUAUCUGUCUGAAAGUAUCGUACGAAUAAGGAUCGGCUAACUCCGUGCCAGCAGCCGCGGUAAUACGGAGGAUUCAAGCGUUAUCCGGAUUUAUUGGGUUUAAAGGGUGCGUAGGCGGUUUGAUAAGUUAGAGGUGAAAUUUCGGGGCUCAACCCUGAACGUGCCUCUAAUACUGUUGAGCUAGAGAGUAGUUGCGGUAGGCGGAAUGUAUGGUGUAGCGGUGAAAUGCUUAGAGAUCAUACAGAACACCGAUUGCGAAGGCAGCUUACCAAACUAUAUCUGACGUUGAGGCACGAAAGCGUGGGGAGCAAACAGGAUUAGAUACCCUGGUAGUCCACGCAGUAAACGAUGAUAACUCGUUGUCGGCGAUACACAGUCGGUGACUAAGCGAAAGCGAUAAGUUAUCCACCUGGGGAGUACGUUCGCAAGAAUGAAACUCAAAGGAAUUGACGGGGGCCCGCACAAGCGGAGGAACAUGUG